rnacentral:lncRNA from 1 species
GUGGCAGCGGGCGCGCCUGUAGGGGCAGCUGCGGCGGCGGCCCGGGCCUGAGGAGGCGUUGUCGCCCCAGGCUUAACCCGGGGACCGCCAAGGGGCAGGUGAGCUCCCGGCAGUUCUGUCACCGCCGCCAACGGGGACCGAAAUCUUCACGGAGGGUUUGUGACUCGGGCCUGACCGGAUUCUGGACACCCGUGGACCCAGGCACAGUCAGGCGGGCGCAGCAAAAAAAAUCGAUCUAGUGGCCUCUUCACUACCGCGGUGCCUUGGUCGUUUUCCUGUUUCCUCUGCCUCUCCUCAGACUCCAGGGCUGCCCCUGUUCCUGGGGGCCCCGAGAUUCAGGCCUUUGGUUCGGGAAGUUGGCAGAUGAGGAUGUGACCUUCUCCUGCCUGGGAAGUCUCCAGUGCUCAGGUUUUCAGUGUGCCCCUGAGGUGGCAGUUUAUAUAAAGGAAGCACUGGGACUUGUGGCCACACCCUUCAAG